CCUCUGUCGCUCUCUCUGCAAGUUGGUGGUACAGGCAUCAGCCCGUCCUUGCAAGCUCGCUGUCUUGUUGUUAUCUUUCAUUCUGGCCUCACCUUUACGCCUCACGCCCAAAUCGGUUGCUAAAUCAUGCCAAUUCCACCUAAAAGAACAUUGCCUUCAUCCGCCCCUUUUUUAUGCAAGAUUCAACUUCAACAACCUUGU